rnacentral:lncRNA from 1 species
AAGAUUCAUCAUCAUAUUGAUUGGUUGACAAAAAACAAACAAAAGGAACAGAUAAGAAAAGAAAAGAUUCGUUAUUUAAUAGUCCCCCGCCGAUUAAAAGAUUCGUAUCCACGUCACCAUACGCCUCUCCAACGAUGACACCUGUCGCCGUCGCCGUUCUCGUCCUCUCCUUGAUCGCCGUCUCCGCCGCAAGACAAAACCCCGACGACGACGUCAUCAAACUCCCCUCGCAAGCUUCCAGGUUCUUCCGCCCCAACAACGACGACGAAUCUUCAUCGUCCGGCACCAGGUGGGCCGUUCUGGUCGCCGGAUCGAGCGGUUAUUG